rnacentral:rRNA from 1 species
UUGUUUGGUGAUAUUUUCCUUAUAGCUGGAAUAGAUAGGCUUCAGAUCCCUAUCUGAUCUUGGCAGCUAACCAGGAUAAAUCCUGGUUGGUGCUUAAAUGGGAAACUGCCAUGGAAUACCAGGUGCUGUAGGCU